AUAGCGAACCCUUGACGUCGCAGACCCAGUGGCCAGCUGUUACUAAUCGCGUCACUCCCUUUGCCAGCUGAUCGCAGACGCCGGUAACCGUGAGAGGGGAGAACGGAGGAAUCACUUUACCGGUGAGGCCUUACCUUGUCCUCUGGCCUCCACUCCCAAUGCCUGCUGAUUCAUGUCUGCGUGUCUUGCUGGAUGGGGGAGGGUGGAAUGAACGAGGGACACGGAGUACUGAGAAAGAAUGGUAGAUGAUUACCAAACGCAGCACAGGGAGGGAAGCAAGACGGAAAGUUUAUAGUGGCUGCUGAUGAGUGAAUAUUGGCUGACCUACCGCAGUUCUUCUCUGGCAAACUUUAUGACCCUGUCCUGACGCUAAAGCUGCCAGCUGAAGAACUGUUGUGGUCAGCUCUACCCAGCAUGCACCAUUUUCAUCUGAGAGUGCUGUGGAUCUUAUUCAUUCUGGACAAUCUCUGUCGUAGAUCUUUGAUGAUAUUUUAAAAUUCACUUUUUUUAUU